rnacentral:tRNA from 1 species
UUUAAUUUAGUUUAAAUUAAAACACUUUUUUUUCAAAAAAGAAAUCUUAUUUAUAUUUGAAUUAAAA